rnacentral:tRNA from 1 species
GUUUCCGUAGUGUAGUGGUUAUCACGUUCGCCUACCACGCGAAAGGCCCCCAGUUCGAGCCCGGGCGGAAACA